rnacentral:rRNA from 1 species
UUGGAGGGCAAGUCUGGUGCCAGCAGCCGCGGUAAUUCCAGCUCCAAUAGCGUAUAUUAAAGUUGUUGCAGUUAAAAAGCUCGUAGUUGAACUUCAGACCUGACCGGGUGGUCCGCCUAACGGUGUGUACUGUCUGGCCGGGCCUUACCUCUUGGUGAGCCGGCAUGCCCUUAAUUGGGUGUGUCGGGGAACCAGGACCUUUACCUUGAGAAAAUUAGAGUGCUCAAAGCAGGCUUACGCCGGAAUACAUUAGCAUGGAAUAAUAAAAUAGGACGUGCGG